ensembl:lncRNA
AAGAUCGCAGACAACUUGACACUUGGAAAAGGGGAGGGAGGGAAAAACAGGGAGACAUUGGUUUAUAGUGAGUUUCGGGAUAUACAGCCCUCUCCUUUCAAAGAGUCUACUUAGAUUGCAAGAGAAAUACUUCUUUCUUGGAUUACUCAAACACGUCUGUAUGUUCUACUUCCAUGCCAGCUCAUGAGCAGAAGAUGGCUAGUGACUUAUCUUCUAGAGAAAAAUGACAGAAAUGACUAUUUGGAAUUAUUCCUGGAAUUAGACCAGCAUGAGGUCCCCUCUGCCAAUCUAAGGGGAUUCAGGGAUGGAGCUCAGCACUCUGAGGCGGAUGGGAAACUGACAGAAAAACUGUGCUCUGAACGCAUCUCUCAUGAUCCCACUACAGCAGGCGCUGGCUUUUGGCAUCAGCAGUACCAGCUGCAUUGGGAGAAGCCAAGCCUGUCAUACCAUCUUCACAUCAAAUCUUCAGUAUACAAGAGCCAAAGCAUAGCUAGAGCUUAAUGAAGAAACAAAUACAAAAGAGAAGAUUAGGCCUCGUUAACACUCACAUUCAUUUGUUCUUAUAGAAACUGCAAUGGAUGGGUUGUUUUAUAGAAUUCAUUCUUUCCCUCUAAAGGAGAAAAGUUACAUUGAUGAUGCAUUUUUUUUAUUGUAAAUACUCAGGGGAAAAAAAUCUUUCUGUUCCUGUAUAACUCUAAACCAGUAAAUUGUUUUGUCAAAAAUGCUACUUGAAACAGUUAGGUCUAUGACAACUGUCAAAAUUUGUAAAUAAAUACUUUUCAUUUUUAUGUUAAUAAUAUUGU